GACGAACGCUGGCGGCGUGCUUAACACAUGCAAGUCGAGCGGAAAGGCCUUUCGGGGUACUCGAGCGGCGAACGGGUGAGUAACACGUGAGUAACCUGCCCCAGACUUUGGGAUAACCCUCGGAAACGGGGGCUAAUACCGGAUACGACACUUCAUCGCAUGGUAUGAGUGUGGUAAAGUUUUUCGGUUGGGAUGGGCUCGCGGCCUAUCAGCUUGUUGGUGGGGUGAUGGCCUACCAAGGCGACGACGGGAGCCGGCCUGAGAGGGCGACCGGCCACACUGGGACUGAGACA
rnacentral:rRNA from 1 species